UCAAUAGUUCAAUGGCAAAUAGAUAACGAAAAAAAGUUUAGUGACUAAAUGUGACAAAAGUCGAAAGUUCGUUACCCUUUCAAGUCAUUAUCCCUAAAAAAUAAUAUCCAUGUGGAUACAAGUUUGAAAUAUAAUGAAAUAAAAGGAUUUCUCUUUUAUAUUUUCUUGGUGUAUACGAAAUCAAACUAAAAUAUCAAAGAAGACAUGAUAUGGAACCCUAUCUUGUACACUACAAAAAUUGACAAUUCAUUGAGUUUUUAUUAAUUGUACAUUGCAGCAGGUUUGAAAAAAAAUGACCACUAAUUACUUUGGUAUUUUAAAACAACAUUAGUAGUAGAAAAAGUGAAGAAAAGCAUGAACCAUGGUUGGGUUAGAAUAUAUAUAGCUAUCAUUCCUCUGCAACUCGUUAACUUCUGCCAUAUGUUUGUUUAUCAACCACUUCAUUCUACCAUCAGAAUCAAGUUUCACAAGUACAUCCAACUGAAGGCAAAUAAAUUUUCAACUUGACCCUAUGGUCAACAAAAAGUAAAAGAAAGAGAUACACAAAUGAAUGGUCAAGGCUCAAGAGAGUGUAUACGUACAAAUCUAAGUAGAUUUUUUAAGUCUCUUUUCUCCAUUGAACCAACAAAAUAACCAAGAUGCCUUCUUCUUUCACCAUCAAAUAACAAACAUUGACAUCUAUGAUAGAAAACUAGUACAGGAUGAUAGGUCAUUAUGGAUAUUUUUGUUAACAACUGAAUCCAUAGUUGACACCGAGAUUUUCUACACAAUAAACAUAUAGUAUCGAAAAGAGGGCCUUCUGAUAAUUAAAAAGAAACAAAAAGAAUCAUCAUAUCCCUUUCCUAUAUCCACCAUUAAAUCAAACUCGAAAUGUUUUAAAUGUGAACCUUAAAUCACAAUGAAAAAAUGGAGAAGAUUUAGAUGUGGAUGUUAGUAAAACAUUCAGAUCUUGGCUUACAGAUUCAGAUUGAUAACAAUUUUUUUUGACAAAGAAAAAAAUAAACAUAAUUAGAGGGGCUUUACACUUGAGAAAGUCAGUACACUUCUAAUCAUGAUAUAAAUGUCAGAAAAGGUUAAUAAUAUACAUAUUUGACAAGCUAAUUGACCAUUAGCUAGAUGAGACCUUUUCUUAAGUAUGUCCCAUGUAUACAAUCCAACUUCUCCAUAUUUGUUUUGUAUGUAAACCUCUUUCCUAUGAAUCCUCAAAACUGUCACGACGAACAUCUCUAGGUUAUUUGCGUUGGGUUCAGAUAGGGAAACCACUUAGAGAGACAGAUAGAGAAAGUGAAAUAGAAGGGAAACAAUAUCACCUGAAGGGUUACAAAUGAGGAAUCAUAGGAGAGUUCCAACAUAGAUAUGGAUAAUUGCAACCCAUGAUUUUUCCUUUCAUUUUUAUGUGGUGUCGAAAUAAGCCACAAAUUUAGGUCCAUAUCCAGCUACAAUCUUUUAUUUGUGAUUCAGAUCCAGCCACGUGAAGGCCCUAAAUUUAAGCUAUCAAAAGAACAAAAAAAAAACAGUAAUAAAACACAAAAACCGAUAAUGCUCGUUACUCUGUUACCUUUGUUCAUCGUCGUGAGAUUUAAGGCCCGAAAUCGUUCCAUACACAUAGUCAAAGAACCUGAACAUGAAAAGGUCACAAUAAACAAAUUAAUUCGAGUUUUUUAUUUAAGAGAAACCAAAAAUCCAGCAAAAAUGAUGAUUUGACAACCUACAAAAAUUACACAUACUACACACCAUUUGAGAAUAGAACAACAAUUUACAAAAUAAAACCAUAAACUUAAAUACAUAUAGAUUUAGGGCUCGUUUGUGAGAAUAUACUGUAGAACUAAAUCUAUAGUCAAUGAAGAAGAAGAAGAAGAAGAAAGUAUCGAUUCAUUUGAUAGUGGCUGUGAUGGUGGCCAAUUUUGACCCGUUUAUCCCAAAUAAUUAUACUAAACUU
rnacentral:lncRNA from 1 species